rnacentral:rRNA from 1 species
CUAGCAUAUCAAUAAGCGGAGGAAAAGAAACCAACAGGGAUUGCCCUAGUAACGGCGAGUGAAGCGGCAACAGCUCAAAUUUGAAAUCUGGCCCUAGGCCCGAGUUGUAAUUUGCAGAGGAUGCUUUUGGUGAGGUGCUUACCGAGUCCCCUGGAAUGGGGCGCCACAGAGGGUGAGAGCCCCGUAUGGUUUGACGCCGAGCCUCUGUAAAGCUCCUUCGACGAGUCGAGUAGUUUGGGAAUGCUGCUCUAAAUGGGAGGUAAAUUUCUUCUAAAGCUAAAUACCGGCCAGAGACCGAUAGCGCACAAGUAGAGUGAUCGAAAGAUGAAAAGCACUUUGAAAAGAGGGUUAAAUAGCACGUGAAAUUGUUGAAAGGGAAGCGCUCGUGACCAGACUUGCGCCGGGCGGAUCAUCCAGCGUUCUCGCUGGUGCACUCCGCCCGGCUCAGGCCAGCAUCGGUUUUCGCCGGGGGACAAAAGCUUCGGGAACGUAGCUCCUCUCGGGGAGUGUUAUAGCCCGUUGCAUAAUACCCCGGCGGGGACCGAGGACCGCGCUUCGGCAAGGAUGCUGGCGUAAUGGUCAUCAGCGACCCGUCUUGAAACACGGACCGAGGAGUCAAGCAUUAGUGCGAGUGUUUGGGUGUAAAACCCGCACGCGUAAUGAAAGUGAACGUAGGUGAGAGCUUCGGCGCAUCAUCGACCGAUCCUGAUGUUUUCGGAUGGAUUUGAGUAGGAGCAUUAACGCUUGGACCCGAAAGAUGGUGAACUAUACUUGAAUAGGGUGAAGCCAGAGGAAACUCUGGUGGAGGCUCGCAGCGGUUCUGACGUGCAAAUCGAUCGUCAAAUUUGAGUAUAGGGGCGAAAGACUAAUCGAACCAUCUAGUAGCUGGUUACCGCCGAA